ensembl:lncRNA
UGCUUAAGAAAACCCACUGAGGUGUCAAAACCACUACUUUCAUCAGUAAAUAUUUAUACAACAUGACUACAGAAUCAUCCAAGCAAGUUUACAUGUAUUUAUAAGUGGGAAAAUGACUAGUUUGUAAUAUAAUAGCACAACAUUUUCUACAUAUUUUCUUAGAACAUAAAUCUCACCAUAGGCUGUGUUUUGUAAACUUGGUUAAUAAAUCCUUUGCAUCUGAUUUCCUUGGAGAAGGCAGUUUGGGGUUAAACAUUUGCCACGUUUUUCAAUAGAUACCUGCAUAUUAUAAUGUGCUUGAGUUUUACAGUCUUUUUCCCAAUUGUCCUCAGAAUUGCCUAACUACUAACAAGUAAUUCUUCAUCAUCCCAUCUCCUCUGGAGACUCAUGUUAUGAUGAAAUUGUUGAUAUGAAUUCUACCAAUAGUAGUUUUGGGAGACUAUUAUAAACAGCCUGUCUUGAAUGGUAUUGACAGCGCCGAGGCAAUUUCAUCUAGAGAGCUAAGGGAGACAAAUAGAUACUUCAUUAGAGAAUGAAUAUCAGAGCAAAGUCCACGAACUCGGGAAGAUUUUGUCAUGGUAUUCAGAUGCACCAGCCCUCCUCUUCUGUAUAGCAGCAGAGUUCAUGUAAAUGAAACAUUUGCACGAUGUUUUUAAAUGAACAAUUUCUUAAAUCUUGGUGCCUAUAUGGAAAGAGCUCUUUAAGCAAGUAAAAUGGAAAUUAUCAGUUUAGACAUAAUCAAGACCACCGGAGUAUGGUGUCUAUACAAAUCUAAUUUAAGCCAUUAUAUCCUUUAAAGAGAACUGCUUAAGACGUUGUACAGAGUAUAGAUGUAUUUAUUAGAUGCUUGUCCACUCAAGCAAGAUGGCAUUGUACUUCUGAUGAGAUAUGCAAUCACCUCAGUCAUUCAUCCCACAAGUAAGAAUAAAAUGACCACCCAACUUCAAAGGUUAAAUAACUGGAUGGGAACAGAAGUAACCAUUGCAACAUAAUGAAAAACAAUUUUAUUUUUUAAAUUCUUUUCCAAUUUGACUCUAAGGUGUAUGGAUUUAGGUAUUUAAAUAAGUACAGAAAUGACCUAAAGAGAGGAGAAAUAACAGUAUUCUAGCAGGGUAAAAUAUAAACCCUCCCCCAUUCCCACCAGCUUCCAGUUUGAUAAAAGGAAAUGCCUAACAGAAUCCUGCCCUGGGAAACAGAUAAGGGAGCUCUGUGCUAUCAGAAAAACCUACUGCAUAGAUCUUCUAAUAUACCACAUGCUGCUGCCCAAGGGACUUCUAGCACAAGCUAUGGGCUCCAGUCUGGCACUUCAGGUAAUGACAAAUGACCAAAACAUGCUUGAAGACAACAGGGAAAGCGUUUCUUAUCCUCUGAGACUUUCAAAGUGGAUUGUCAGAUUAAACUCCCUACCUAGCUUGAACUAUGUGAAUGCAACUGGCAUCCUCCUUCACGCAAUGGCACCCAAGUGAACCACAGAAUGGACCACAGUGUCGUCUAUUCUGCCUUAAGCACAUUUAACAUAAAACUCUAGGAUGUUUUAGUAAGGAUCGUUCAGUUUCUAUUAUCUUCUUGCUUAUAUACGUCACUUACUUAGCCGUUUUAAAAAGCUAAUCUACUUGAAAUCCUCAAAAUUAGUACCAAAAAAACCACACAGUUUACUAAUCUAAUGGUUAAUUAUAAAACUCCCGGGAUUUUUUUUUUUUUAACGAGACACUUUUCUCUCUGCAGAUAGUGCAUACAAGGCACAAAAACUUCUGACUUUAGUUACUGAGGCCAAACAUGUUGGCAUCAACACAUUAUUUUAGUUUACCUUAAACUACAUUUCCAAAUAGCACACUGUUUAGUUUAUGGUAAACUAAUCUUCUAAAAGUAUAUAUUUUUAAGUGAUUUGCAUAAUUUAAUCUUGAUAGGUAUUUAAGGAAAAAUAUAUAUUGACAAUUAUAGUUCUGAUGACAGCACACAGCAAUGAUACAGAUGCAAGUAGAGGAAUAAUCCAUCAGAAAUGCUUAGAACUCAGUAAUGUUACCAUGUGCAAGCAGUAAAAAACAGAUUUUAUAACAUCCAAGCCAAGAAAAGAGUGCUCCUGAACAAUCUUACAAUAAUUAGCAUAGAUCCCCUCUGACUGCCAAUUAAAAGACACGAAAAUAAAUUUCUGCUAUAAGUUCUUUGUCAAAACAUUAAUUAUCUCUGACAAAAGUUUUUAAUCCAAUUGCUUUGAACAGUGAACUCAAGUGUCAGUGUUCAUGCCCAUUUCCCAUGGGAGACAAAGUCUAGAAGAAGAAGUGAAGCCUUCCGCAAAUGGACAGUGACCUUCGGCUGUAGGUUACUUAACUUUCAUGGUGAAUUCAUACUUACUGCAGUUCCCUCAUCUGAAGCCAGAUUCACAUCAGAGGGAAAAUCAAAGACGAAAGAUUUCUUACUUCCUUCUGAAUAUAGCUUAGUGUUAUUACAUGACUUGAAAAUUUUUAAAUUUGAAAAUUAAUCUAAAUUUCCUGAAAGAGAAUAUCAAAGACUAAUGGGAUAACAUGAUAAAUUGUGCAACCCAAUAUCUGAAUGAAACCUGACCCAUGAAUUUAUUCUGUUCCUUGUGAAUUGCUUUUAAAGGGAUUUGUGUUGGUUAUGGCAGUUUAUAUAUUAGACUGAACUGUGCUCAGCUGUAAGCAUCAGUUUUGUAAUGACAUCUCAAAAUUCUUCAUACCACUGGGUUUGAUCCCAAUCACUGAUGAAAAAUUUGCAUAUUUAGCCAAAGGGAUAAAGAGACAAUUGGUCAAUGGAGCCUUCCUGUGGGAAGUCUGUUCCAUUCGUCCAUGGCAUUGGUACCUU